GCCUACGUGAGGCAGCAGUGAGGAAUAUUGGUCAAUGGACGGAAGUCUGAACCAGCCAUGACGCGUGCAGGAAGACGGCCCUAUGAGUUGUAAACUGCUUUUGUACAGGAGUAAACCUGAAUACGUGUAUUCAGCUGAAAGAACGUGACGAAUAAGGAUCGGCUAACUCCGUACCAGAAGCCGCGGUAAUACGGAGGACCCAAGCGUUAUCCGGAUUUAUUGGGUUUAAAGGGUGCCUAGGCGGAUUGAUAAGUUGGAGGUGAAAUGUCCGAGCUUAACUCGGGAACUGCCUCUAAUACUGUUGAUCUAGAGAGUAGAUGCGGUAGGCGGAAUGUAUGGUGUAGCGGUGAAAUGCUUAGAGAUCAUACAGAACACCGAUUGUGAAGGCAGCUUACCAAUCUACAUCUGACGUUGAGGCACGAAGGCGCGGGUAGCAAACAGGAUUAGAUACCCCUGUAGUC
rnacentral:rRNA from 1 species